AUCUAUUAAUUUCACACGUGAGGGGUGAUUUCUUGGUUUCAUCCAGUCAUUAAUAACUUGAUUCUUUUUAGAUAAUAGUAGAUAGAGACAACGAUUGUAAGGAGUCCUAUUAAAAUCAAGGAAUAUAGGCCUGCUUGCCAUCCAUACAAGAAUAAAUAGAGUUUUUCAGAAAACCUGCUAGUGGAGGAAGACUUCCUAGGAAUAAGAGACAUAGAGUUAAAGAGAGAGCCAAAAAAGGAUCUUUUGUGUAUAAUCCUGCAUAAUCCCGAAUGUUAUCAAUUUCGGUACGUAGACCAAAUAAUACAAUGCAAGCAAAAGUUCUUAAAUUCAUGGAGAUAUAGAACAGCAUAUACAUUUCAUGCUUGUUUGAGAAAUAGCAAUGAUAUUUCCCAAUAUCAUGCUAAGAAUAGUUAGGAUUUCCAGAAGAAAAUGUCAUUCGUUUGAUGAGAAAUAAAAGGGAAUAUCGAAAAUUCAAGUGGCUGAAGCUGAAGCAACUACUUUCGAAGUAACAGAAAGAAAAGCAAUUACUGGAUGGAAUUCCCCAAGAAAAGUUAG
rnacentral:lncRNA from 1 species